GUUGGUGAACCAGCGGAGGGAUCAUUAAAAGAAGCCGAAAGGCUACUUACAACCAUCGCGAACUCGUCCAAGUUGCUUCGGCGGAGCGGGGGCCCUUUACCGGGCCGCCGCGGCCCUCCGCCCCCGGGAGACCGGGGGUGCGGGGCGCCCGCCGGAGGUACGAAACUCUCAUGUCUUAUAGUGGAAUCUCUGAGUAAAAAACAAAUAAGUUAAAACUUUCAACAACGGAUCUCUUGGUUCUG
rnacentral:misc_RNA from 1 species